rnacentral:misc_RNA from 1 species
UCCGGUUUGUCACCGGCAGUCUUGCAUGAGUCCCCGGCAUUACCCGCUGGCAACUAAGAGCAGGGGUUGCGCUCGUUGCGGCACUUAACCCAACAUCUCACGACACGAGCUGACGACAGCCAUGCAGCACCUGUGCACGGACUCCGAAGAGGGGCCCCUGUUUCCAGGGGCUUUCCCGUACAUGUCAAGCCCAGGUAAGGUUCUACGCGUUGCGUCGAAUUAAACCACAUGCUCCACCGCUUGUGCGGGCCCCCGUCAAUUCCUUUGAGUUUCAGCCUUGCGGCCGUACUCCCCAGGCGGGGCACUUAAUGCGUUAGCGCCGGCACUCAGGGGGUCGCUCCCCCAAGCACCUAGUGCCCAUCGUUUACGGCGUGGACUAC